CUCAGGUACACAGGUGCCAUCACCUCAUAUAAACAGCCACUAAAUCUACCUUGCUGGAUUAUAUAGAAUGAUAUUUUUCAAUUAGGAAUUUUGGAAAAAACAGUUGUUAUGCACCAGUAUUUUAAACAGUCUUUUACCAGUGAGAAUAGUUGUAUUGGAUGCAGAUGUUACUUCAAUUGCAUGCUAGCCUUACAUUAAACAUGUCAAGUGAAAGCAUUUGAAUUUUGUAUUUCUUGCUUUGUACACUAACCAAAAAUAGGAAAUUCAUUGUCAAUCAAUCAAUAAUUUGCUACCAUUAUAUAUCAACCUUAAUAUGUAUUUUUUUCUUAAUAGAGAUUGUAUUUAAUAUGGAUUCAUUAUAUAUCCUGAUCCUGAAUGAAAAGUUAUUAAUAAAAGCUUCCCAGCAGAAGGCAAGUUGUCUAAACAAGUGGCAAUAUAUAUAAUCAUUAAUGGCAUUUUAAGUACUGCAUAGUCUAUUUGGAAAAUGUUAUUCUUUUGCUGGAGAGUAUGUUUAUGCAGGAUUAACAAACCUGACAAGGAAUGGAGUUGCUGACUUGUGGUAUGAAGCUUGUACUUUUAAAUUUUAACUAGUGGACUUGUAUGACAUGCUUGAUUGAGCAGUGACAACACUACAUGCAGUACAGGUAUAUUAUACUAACUUGUAAAUAUUCUACAUUGAAGAGAAUUAUGUUAACCUUUUAUGUGGCAAUGGGCUCUACCUUAUUAUUUUUUCUGUCUAAUGCCAGACAAUUUUACUCAUGAAGGAGAGAGUGUUGCCACUCAAUGGGUUAAAGCCAAAUUUCUGUAGAUGGAAAUUUUGAACAAUAACUAUGUAAUAAGUACUGUGCCGGGAAUGGAACCUGUUGCCCUGUGAUUCAGAACAGUUCCUUAACAGCCGAGAGUCCAUCAAGCCCUGAGAGUCCAAGCGCCAAGAAUCCAUCAAGCUAACCAAGAGUUCAUUUAUACAAUACUAGUGUCAUCCCAGUUUAUUUAAUAUACUACCAGUGACACCACCAUCAUGGUAUAAUUAUACAGAAAGUUACAUCUUGGCAAAAGGACUCUUUAGGUCAGAGGGCUGCAGUAGAAUUGCAGGGCUGCAGGUUCAAUUCAUGCUGGCAGGCUUGUAAUUGUAUUAAAACUGUCUGUAUACCAGUACCAGCGUGGGUAGUACCAAUGUGAAAUUGCUGUGCUGAGUGGUUAUAUUACUACCUGAAAAAAAAAGCAAACAGAAACUGAAUGUUUUGAGCAAAGACCCUUCGCUCGAAAUGUUGAGUUUCUGCUUGUUUUUUUUUUGAGGUAGUAAUAUAACCACUCAACACAGCAAUUGUAAUUGUAUUCCUUUGCAAUUGCUCUCACAUAGUUCUAAGGUACCUGUAGCUCUAGUUUAUUUAAUUGUCUUAUUAUAUUGUAAUGAUAUAUUUUUUAUUAAAUUCCAUGUAUAUAAUAUAUACAUGUUCAGUGAUGUAAGACUCACAAAUUUUCUUCAUUUUAAUGCAGUGUAUAGGUUGUGACAUUAAAUUGGUCGAAAUGACAAAAAAAAAUUGGUCGAAAUGACCAAAAAAAAUUGGUCACCUGGAUGCAUCUGAGAGAACCAAUUAAAAAUGG